GUGGUUUUACUCAAUUCUUACCCAUCAUAGGAAUUGUCAUAGUAGAAUGGACACCUUGGCCCUUCUCGACUAGUGUCGUCUGACAUUCAGCAUCCCACUUCCAGCUGCCUCUGACAUGGGCUAACACUUAGAUAUCUCAGAGGGAGACAUUAGCCCCCAUAAUACUACUUGUUGUCAAAUGUGGAGAAAAUUUCUUCCUGACCCCGAGCCAGUGGUCAGCCCUGAAGCCACAAGACUCAUAGCCAAUAUGCUUAGCUACUCUGUGUGCUAUUCACUUUAUAUAUAUUUCUUUCUGGAAUCUUUCUGUGUAUUAAUCUAUAAUAACAAACACCACUUGAUAAAUAUAUUUAGCAUUUCCUCCCCCAAGAUACUGUCCUCUGUACGUUAAAAUCAGUCACCUCUUUAAUCUCAAGUGCUCUCAUUGUAGUAUUCUGACAGGUUUUCAUCCAUUUACUGUAUGUGGGGAGCAUUAACUACAUAUUGUGUAGCAUGCAACUAGCUGUAUAUCUUAGUUUUAUUGUCCAAGUCAGUGCCACCUAGGAUGCCACAGUUGUCACUUUGCUGCACACCAUGGCCACUCAAAAUUUCACAGCAACAGUGGAGAUCCUCCUUCAGUAAAUGCACAGGGCUCAGCAGCUUGAACUGAAGGACAUGCCAUUAGCAGGAUAGAGGUUGACACAGUUAAGCCGUUCUGAUUCCAGCCAGUAGAGAGCAGUGGUGAGUGUAUAGUCAGUUCAGCACAUUAUUUCCUUAGAAAAAACAUUUUUCAAAAUCUUAAUGUGAAUAGACAUAUUUUCCAUGAUACUUUAUUAAUAAUAAUAAUAAAUAAGAAGUAGUAGUUGUCUCCUUGGGACUUAUACUGUCCCAUUUACCAUUGUACUGGUGCAUGUGAAUAUAAAGUGAAACUAACCCAUCAGGUUCAGUGUUGUUGUAGCCAUGUUGGUCCUAGGAUAUGAGUCCUCUCCUCAAAGGAAACCUGCAAAGCAUCUUCAAAAGAUGAACCUGGGAAGGUAACUUUGUAACUCUGCUAGACACACAAAAACCAUGGACAUAACAGAAACACUGAUUUUAUGACUCAUAACAAUUUCUAACAUACCUUGCUGCCUACUACCUUCCUUUGUCCUAUGACUGCAGACAUGUUAAUUUCCCACUUCAUUUUAAGUGGUCUCCUACAAUGCUUGCCAAACCUUUAUGUGUAACAGUUUGUCCCACCUUGUAUUUAACUUGAACAUUCUGGUUACCUUCCCCAGACCUCAGAAAGAUCUCCAUGUAGCUUGAAAGCUUGUCCCUUCCACCAACAGAAGUUGGUCCAAUAAAAGAUACUGCCUCACCCACCUUGUCUUGAUCUAGUUCAGUAAGUCAAGUUGGAAUGUAAUACUGGUGAAAGGUGCUGGAUCAUCAGCCCCAGAGAUUGAAAUCUUCUAUCCACAGGACAGGCAUUGUGAAGCGGCAAGAGAUCCUUCUUUCCCCUUUACGGGAAUACUUUUUCUCACUCCGUUACUCUCGAUGAUGAAGGGAUGAGAGAACAGAACUACAUAAGUGUGGGACGACAGACAGAGUUUGAGAUGAGAUGAUAGCAGCCACAGUGAUGCUGCCUUUGUUACGUGGAAAAACUAAAUUAAAGUGUUGUGAAUUGUAA